UUCAGUUAUGUACUUAUCUCAUCUGCUCAUCUUCUCGGUUUAGGGAACCAUCAUCUUCUCAGCUGGAGCCGCUACUCCAACUAACGCUCGCACCAGGACCACCACCUCGUUGUUGCCGUGGUAGCCACCGUGAGUUGGGUGAGUCGCCGUCGCAAGCUGGAGUUAGUAGCCACUCAUCUUCUCCCAUCGCAGAACGCAGGACCAGCACGUCAAGCACGACAUCAGCGUCGCCGUCGUAGCGUUUGUAAGCUGAGACCAUCUGAAGAUAGGUUCUCUAGCCGCCGCUGGACAACCACCUCAUCAUCGUUAGCUUGCCACCGUGACCUUGGACCAAAAGCCUAAAAUGGAUUUGACGCAAAUGGACACCAUCAAUUCCUAAUUUGAUGAGCACCAACAAGACAAACAUGUUGCUGAAUUGUUUUAAUGACAUUGUGUCAUUGUGCACAAGAUUUGGAUUUUUAUGAGUUGCAUUAUGUCUGUAUAAAGAGACAGGGUUCACUAACUUUGGAGAUUAGAAUCACUUCAGAAGAAGUUCCACCAUUCAGAUCACUAUGUUAGUUCUAUUUACUCAAAGAGCCUAAUUGAUCCUGGCUUGGCUACUUAGUUACUUAUUUGACUUGGUUUGGUAGAAUGGCAAAUGAGAAUGAAGUGCUUAUUCUCUUUGGUGACAUGCCACAUACAAAUGUGUAUUUGUUGAAUCUUUUGUUGUAUUUACAAGAAUGUAUUAAUCUUAUUUGUUAUUAUGUAGAAGUUUAAAAUUGAAUUGAUAUUAUACGUUUUUUUGUUUAUCUAUAUAAAUAAUGGAUUUUUUACUUA